UGGGAGACACUCCUUUAUCCAAACAAACAGGUCAAACCAGUGAGAAGUCUGCUCCCAGUGUUGCCUCUUCCUUAGAAUCAGAAAGUUCAGAAGAAUCUUCGGGGAAAUCAGGGGAUCAGGAAGAAGAGG